UAAACCGCUUUCGCCUGUGACGAAGCGUGAGUGACGGUAAUGGGUAAAGAAGCACCGGCUAACUACGUGCCAGCAGCCGCGGUGAUACGUAGGGUGCGAGCGUUGUCCGGAUUUAUUGGACGUAAAGGGCUCGUAGGUGGUUGAUCGCGUCGGAAGUGUAAUCUUGGGGCUUAACCCUGAGCGUGCUUUCGAUACGGGUUGACUUGAGGAAGGUAGGGGAGAAUGGAAUUCCUGGUGGAGCGGUGGAAUGCGCAGAUAUCAGGAGGAACACCAGUGGCGAAGGCGGUUCUCUGGGCCUUUCCUGACGCUGAGGAGCGAAAGCGUGGGGAGCGAACAGGCUUAGAUACCCUGGUAGUCCACGCUGUAAACGGUGGGUACUAGGUGUGGGGUCCAUUCCACGGGUUCCGCGCCGUAGCUAACGCUUUAAGUACCCCGCCUGGGGAGUACGGCCGCAAGGCUAAAACUCAAAUGAAUUGACGGAA
rnacentral:rRNA from 1 species